GUGCCGGUUGACUAUAAAGAGCCUUCAUCAAUGGAUCUCUGAUAACAUGAUCAAACAUGGACCAAAAGCGUAGAUUCACUUACUUUCCCCCACGGAAUUGGAAAUUCUAAUGAACGCGUAUGCCGAGCAGUUACCCAUUUUAACAACAAAAAGCAAUACCGCCGCGGCAGCGAGAGAGCUUGGCAGGAAAUUGCUGAUCAAGUCAAUGCGAACUACCCGAGUUGCUCCAAGAGGACUUGGCAGCAAAUGAAGAUGAAGUACAAAAAUAUAGUUCAAACAGGGUCUGAACUCUAUCAGGGACACCCCACCAGUCAUAGGAGGCCUUCAUGACCAGCAUCUCAGUGUGGACGGAGAUCAG